AAAGAAACCAACCGGGAUUGCCUCAGUAACGGCGAGUGAAGCGGCAAGAGCUCAAAUUUGAAAGCUGGCCCCCUCGGGGUCCGCGUUGUAAUUUGCAGAGGAUGCUUCGGGUGUGGCCCCCGUCUAAGUGCCCUGGAACGGGCCGUCAUAGAGGGUGAGAAUCCCGUCUGGGACGGGGUGUCCGCGCCCGUGUGAAGCUCCUUCGACGAGUCGAGUUGUUUGGGAAUGCAGCUCUAAAUGGGUGGUAAAUUUCAUCUAAAGCUAAAUACUGGCCGGAGACCGAUAGCGCACAAGUAGAGUGAUCGAAAGAUGAAAAGCACUUUGAAAAGAGAGUUAAAAAGCACGUGAAAUUGUUGAAAGGGAAGCGCUUGCGACCAGACUCGCCUCCGGGGUUCAGCCGGCCUUAGGGCCGGUGUACUUCCCCGGGGGCGGGCCAGCGUCGGUUUGGGCGGCCGGUCAAAGGCCCCUGGAAUGUAGUGCCCCCCGGGGCACCUUAUAGCCAGGGGUGCAAUGCGGCCUGCCCGGACCGAGGAACGCGCUCCGGCACGGACGCUGGCAUAAUGGUCGUAAACGAC
rnacentral:rRNA from 1 species